rnacentral:lncRNA from 1 species
AGUUUGCCAAUGCGCUCAUCGUAAUUUUUGAGAUAUUAUCUACAAGGAACAACUCUUAUUCUUGCUCUAGCAAAAGUUUGCAACAGGCCCAUUCUAGAGCUGGAGUGUUUUCACCCUUUUCAUAGGCACAGUUGUGGAAACAAAUACAAAAGAAACGUACCUCCAUCGGAUUAACAGUUAUUGUGAGAGCUGAGUCAUCCCAAGCCAUCUCAGCAUCUGCAAUUUCUUCUUGAGUGGCUCGAUGAUGAGCUGAGUGAAUUCUGAGUGCUCCAACUACCAUUAAUAGUAGUAAAAAUCCAACACAGACAACCAACAUAACGGUGACAACAUGAGCUGAAACAUUCCAAAAAUAGUCAGUGAAUCAUAUAGAGGUUUCAAAAUCACUUCACCUUGCCAACAAGCACCAACUGUCAAUGUGGUGUUGAUAUCUUUGGUAGGGUGCAGAGGCCAGUCAUCGAUUACUUCUGGAUUCUUCUUCUCCGAUUUAAAGAGAGAGCCAUCAACGUACAGUUGGACUUCAGGAAAUUGGACGGAGACUGCAUAGUGAUGCCAUUCAUUAUCACACACCUGACAACAGAUAAAUUUAAGAUCAAUGAAAAGUUCUGAAAAGCUGAUAUAAAAGAUAUUACACAUAAGUGUCCAGUAAAUUUUCUUUUGUUUUUCCUUGAGCAUUUUUAUUAAAACAAAUAAACACAAAAAUAAACUUAGCUCAGCACAAAAUGCUGGUCCAGAUCGGUGGAGACUCAAAUUUUAAAGGAAAUUCACGACAAACUGGGAAAGAGCGCUGAGAGGCUUAGUACCAAAGCGCUAUGAAGUUAUGAAAAGAAUCACACUUUUUCACUUUGCAACUUUCUGGUUAUGCCUUUUCUCUCCCUGACCAAGUAGGACUUCUGACUUUCCAAGUUCUCCCAGCUUUUAAAUAUCAAUUACUUCUUGAUCUUUUCGGGAGGAUACCUACUUUCUUCACUGAAAAAAUUCUAAAAUGCCUCCAAAUGAACAAAAUAGAUCUGAUUUCAUCAAAUUAAAAUAAUGGAAAUUACUAAUUAGCUGGAAUUUGUCAAAAAUAAACUAAUAAUUGAACAGCUUUAACUGUAAUCAUCCUAACUACAUUCCAUGUUGCCUAAUUUUCUCUCAAGUUUUUUUUUAAACAGAAGAAAAAUACACAGCAUACAUAUUCUAAACUUUCUAUGAAUUUACCCCAGUUUAUGAAGAAUACACUCAUAAAAUUUCAAGUCUCAGUGCUGCUUGGUUUUGUUUAAAAAAUAAAACAUCAGAGAGAAGUGGAUGACUUCUGAUGUAGUUAGGCUAUUUCUCAUUGAAUCCUUAGGAUUUAGAAAAUGAGUAAACUAACAAACCUGUGGUAACUUCCAUCUCCAUUCAGCUGGCCGGAAAAUAUUCAGAUCGCCGUCAGAUAGGUCUCGACGGAGCAGAAGGAUCAAUCUGCAGUUGCGCACAAACAAGGCAUAAUGAUGUCUGUUCAUUUCUAAAAUAAAGGAAAAAAGAGUGGACACAUUAAAAUUGAGUAGAAUUACAGUAAUGAGUGAUUGAAAUAAAAGAUUUUUAUGCAGAUGUACUCAAGAGUAAUAUUGUUUGAAGAAUGUGAUUUCCAAUGAAAGGUGGUUCUUGGAUGAACAUUUUUCGGUUAGGACUUUAUUCAUAUUUUAGAAUGUAUAAAAUCAACAGAUAAAAUUUCAAAGGAACCUGGUUUGGUGAGGGGCUCUAAGUCAAAAUAUUAUAUAAUUUGAAAAUAUGAAAAAAACUAAAACUAUGGAAGGCCAAAAGGCUGAAUGAUAAUAGUUUCUGACUUUGAACAGGGAGGAGUUUACUUAAUUAAAGAUAUAGUUAUUUAGAUAAUAAUAAAAAAAACCCUCUGAAAUAAAGGAUUUUUGUUGCUAAUCAUUUCUGGAUUAAACUUGUUUGUAUUAUAUUAGUUCAUAUUUGUGCACUAUGAUGUACGAUUUUUCCUUUGACUUUCGAAUUUAAUUACAGUAUAAGCUAUAAUUUUUAGGCAACUAUUGUUGAUCAUUUAUGUGACCUGUUGA